rnacentral:rRNA from 1 species
UACGGGGGGGGCAAGCGUUGUUCGGAAUUACUGGGCGUAAAGGGCUCGUAGGCGGCCAACUAAGUCAGACGUGAAAUCCCUCGGCUUAACCGGGGAACUGCGUCUGAUACUGGAUGGCUUGAAUUCGGGAGAGGGAUGCAGAAUUCCAGGUGUAGCGGUGAAAUGCGUAGAUAUCUGGAGGAAUACCGGUGGCGAAGGCGGCAUCCUGGACCGACAUUGACGCUGAACGGCGAAAGCUAGGGGAGCAAACGGG